rnacentral:rRNA from 1 species
GAUGAACGCUGGCGGCGUGCCUAAUACAUGCAAGUCGAGCGAACGGACGAGAAGCUUGCUUCUCUGAUGUUAGCGGCGGACGGGUGAGUAACACGUGGAUAACCUACCUAUAAGACUGGGAUAACUUCGGGAAACAGGAGAUAAUACCGGAUAAUAUUUUGAACCGCAUGGUUCAAAAGUGAAAGACGGUCUUGCUGUCACUUAUAGAUGGUUCCGCGCUGCAUUAGCUAGUUGGUAAGGUAACGGCCUACCAAGGCAACGAUGCAUAGCCGACCUGAGAGGGUGAUCGGCCACCCUUGAACUUGGACACGGUCCAGGCUCCUACGGGAGGCAGCAGUAGGGAAUCUUCCGCAAUGGGCGAAAGCCUGACGGAGCAACGCCGCGUGAGUGAUGAAGGUCUUCGGAUCGUAAAACUCUGUUAUUAGGGAAGAACAUAUGUGUAAUUAACUGUGCACAUCUUGACGGUACCUAAUCAGAAAGCCACGGCUAACUACGUG